UCCACGGGCUCCACGGGCUCCACGGGCUCAACGUCCAGGAGCUCCAUGUCCAGGAGCUCCACGUCCACGGGCUCCACGUCCACGGGCUCCAGGGGGUGUCCUGGUUGCGUGCAUGCAUGGUGUAAGUGUAAGGUCUAACAAAGGGUGUGUAUGAAUAAAUUAUACAAAUAGCUAAGUACGUGUGCAAAAACUGGAUUAUUCAAAGCAAGGAAUAUUUAAAAAAUGGCAAGCGGAGUACAAUAAAGGGGGGCGGGGGAACCAAGAGGACAAAGCAAGCUCCAACCAAACA